UUUCAGUAACUGCAUGAGUCACCCUCAGGCCCCGCCCCGUGACGUCACGUAUCCCUCUGCGCAUGCGUCCACAUUCCCGGACAAGAUGGCGGCUGUUUUCCUCGGAAAUGCAAAACAUUUACCCACAGGUUAUUUUUCAAGGUGCUCACUUCUCUCUGGAAGGGUUUAUUCUCGGUCUGAAUCCCUCUGUCCAGCCCCUGCAGCCUUACCGUCUGGAAAAGCGCGUCUCUUCCCAUUUCCCACGGAGACAAACCCGGCACUGCGGCUGCGCCGCCCUCGGCUGUAAGUAGUGGAAUUAAUGAAAACUGAAGCAUUUCUCUGAUGCCAGUUCUGUGCUAACUUCUCAGCUACAAGCUCCAGACAGAGAGAUUACAUUGAAGUAGAGUGACAUUGAUUCAGAGUCAUAUUCAAAUGAGGGUUUCAUCAUUGCAGGUGCCUGAGGUAUAUGCUGUCAAUUUAUUCCACUCAUAUGUGUGGCUUCCCUCACAAACAUCACUCAGACUCACUUUACGCUCCCUCUGACACACACUAUUCCUUUCCCUGCCCGUAACACCCAGCCUCCUCCACAGGCUUUCAAAUUCUUAUGUCUGUACAGCCCUCCCUAUGUAUUUUACCUUGGGUGAACAUCAAAGCCGUCCCGAUCUGUUUAAACUCCUCCAGCCACUCCAUCUCUCCCUAUCACUGUCACUUCCUCCGCACACUCCAACCCUCCCUAUCACUGUCACUUCCUCCACACAC